GGUGAGUUGGCAGAGUGGUUUAAUGCAUCUGAUUGCUAAUCAGAAAACCAAGUAUUUGGUUCAAAGGUUCAAAUCCUUUACUCACCGCCA
rnacentral:tRNA from 1 species